rnacentral:tRNA from 1 species
GGGGAUUUAGCUCAGUGGUAGAGCGCUUGCCUAGAGCGCUUGCCUAGCAAGCGCAAGGCCCUGGGUUCGGUCCCCAGCUCCG